GUGGGGAAUAUUGCGCAAUGGGCGAAAGCCUGACGCAGCGACGCCGCGUGAGGGAUGAAGGUUUUCGGAUCGUAAACCUCUGUCAGAAGGGAAGAAACUACGUUGUGCUAAUCAGCAGCGUACUGACGGUACCUUCAAAGGAAGCACCGGCUAACUCCGUGCCAGCAGCCGCGGUAAUACGGCGGGUGCAAGCGUUAAUCGGAAUUACUGGGCGUAAAGCGCACGUAGGCUGUAGUGUAAGUCAGGGGUGAAAUCCCACGGCUCAACCGUGGAACUGCCUUUGAUACUGCACAACUUGAAUCCGGGAGAGGGUGGCGGAAUUCCAGGUGUAGGAGUGAAAUCCGUAGAUAUCUGGAGGAACAUCAGUGGCGAAGGCGGCCACCUGGACCGGUAUUGACGCUGAGGUGCGAAAGCGUGGGGAGCAAACAGGAUUAGAAACCCGGGUAGUCC
rnacentral:rRNA from 1 species